AUUUUUUAUUUUAUAUGAAAAUAUGACAAGGUGGGUCUCACCUUCAAACCUUUACAUCGGAAGAGCACAGGUC